CUACUCUCUGUAACUCUUCUCCUCCUCCUUGUCGUAGCCGUCUUCUUCUCUCCUUUGAACCAACGACACCAUCUCUCUCUCACUUUCUCUUCUUCUCCCACCUUCUCCUCCUCCCAGUCUAACUUCCGACAGCAAACCGCCAGCAAUUUCAACACCACAACUUUGCAUGUUGUUGCACCUGCAACUUCCCCAUCCCCAACAUCCCAGCCACCGCUCGAGCUUCGCCGCCGCCAUGCGCCUUCCUCAACUUCCACCGCCUCCAAACUCAGUCACGCUACUACCAAAAAAAAGAAGAGCAAAACGGAGAGGAUUGAAGAGGAGUUGGGGAUAGCAAGAGCAAUUAUCCGCAAAGCUAUUCUCACAAAGAAUGUCACCUCCGACCGGAAGGAGACUUACAUCCCCAGAGGAAGUGCCUACAGAAUUCCAUAUGCCUU